CUCUAAUCACGACUUGGACCUUCUGGUGACCAUCCUGCAUACUCAGCCACAAGAACUCAAGAAGGGUAGAGGGGGAAACUUCCUUCUUCCUGAAGGUACCCUGGGUAGAAGGAGCAGCUUUAAAUUCUCAGAGGUGUCUGACACAGGUUUUGGCAUCCUUUUGGGAUGUAGAAAUCACCAUCUCAAACUGCAGAGUUCUCAGCUCUCCAGGUAAGGGCCAGAAAGAGAAGAGGAAUCGUAAGUGGAAGCAGAAUAUGUGGAAGAACCAUGAACAGAAAAUGAUCUCCUCAAUACUAAGAAAAGACUCACCAGGGAGAAGAGUA